rnacentral:rRNA from 1 species
GACGAACCGUGCGAACGUUGUUCGGAAUCACUGGGCUUAAAGGGCGCGUAGGCGGGUCGAAAAGUCCGUGGUGAAAUCCCCCCGCUCAACGGGGGAACGGCCGCGGAUACUGUCGGCCUCGAGGGGGGUAGGGGCGAGCGGAACGCUGGGUGGAGCGGUGAAAUGCGUUGAUAUCCAGCGGAACUCUGGUGGCGAAGGCGGCUCGCUGGGCCCUCUCUGACGCUGAGGCGCGAAAGCCAGGGGAGCGAACGGG